rnacentral:rRNA from 1 species
UACGAAGGGUGCAAGCGUUGCUCGGAAUUAUUGGGCGUAAAGGGUAGGUAGGUGGUUGCAUAUGUCUGGGGUGAAAUCCCUGAGCUUAACUCAGGACGUGCCUUGGAAACGGUGUAACUAGAGUACUAGAGAGGUUCGUGGAAUUCCUGGUGUAGCGGUGAAAUGCGUAGAGAUCAGGAGGAACAUCAGCGGCGAAGGCGGCGAACUGGAUAGUAACUGACACUCAACUACGAAAGCGUGGGGAGCAAACAGG